rnacentral:lncRNA from 1 species
AAUGUACUGUUGAACCCCAAAGAGUGAAAAUCAUUUUCUCUUUGCAGGGCAGUCGGGCACCCCUGGACUCCUACAUUAUAGGUGACAGACACUGCUGGGCUGCAAAACUGGAACUCAGCAAGGACAGGGUGACCAUGGAGUCCGUGAAGCCCCUCCCACCUGCUCCUUCUCAGAGUGUCAGGCUCUGGGCAGGGUUCACCUGCUACCAGAUAUCUGAAGGCAGAGAUUCCAGGCUUGUGUUGUCCUGGGCACCCCAUGACUGAAGACCCCAGACCUUUCCAUGUUGAAGAGGGCUCAGUCUGGGAAGAAAAACAGCAUCCGGUGUUAAAAACAUGAACCUUAGUUGUGGUGGUUUGAGUAGGAAUUCAUAGACUCAUAUAUUUGAAUUCUUGGUCACCAGAGAGUGACAUUAUUAGGAGGCAUGGCUUUGUUGGAGUAGAUGUGGACCUGGUAGAGGAAGUGUGCCACUGUGGGUAGGCACAGAGGUUUAAAAUGUUCAAGCUAGGCUCUAAGCUCUCUCCCUGCUGCUUGUCGUUCCAGAUGUAGAACUCUCAGCUCCCUCUUUAGCGCCAUGUCUGUCUGCAUACUAACAUAUUUUCCACUCUGCUGAUGAUGGACUGAACCACUGAACUGUAAGCUAGCUCCAAUGAAAUGUUGUUCUUUAUUCAA